rnacentral:rRNA from 1 species
AUUGAACGCUGGCGGCAGGCUUAACACAUGCAAGUCGAGCGGGGUGAUGGUGCUUGCACUAUCACUUAGCGGCGGACGGGUGAGUAAUGCUUAGGAAUCUGCCUAUUAGUGGGGGACAACAUCUCGAAAGGGAUGCUAAUACCGCAUACGUCCUACGGGAGAAAGCAGGGGAUCACUUGUGACCUUGCGCUAAUAGAUAAGCCUAAUUCGGAUUAGCUAGUUGGUGGGGUAAAGGCCUACCAAGGCGACGAUCUGUAGCGGGUCUGAGAGGAUGAUCCGCCACACUGGGACUGAGACACGGCCCAGACUCCUACGGGAGGCAGCAGUGGGGAAUAUUGGACAAUGGGGGGAACCCUGAUCCAGCCAUGCCGCGUGUGUGAAGAAGGCCUUAUGGUUGUAAAGCACUUUAAGCGAGGAGGAGGCUCCUUUGGUUAAUACCCAGAAUGAGUGGACGUUACUCGCAGAAUAAGCACCGGCUAACUCUGUGCCAGCCGCCGCAGUAA